ACGGUUACUGCACCGUUGUGAGGGAUGCGUUGUGUAAUUUAAAUGAAAAGACGACUUCUACUUCGACUUAAUAUCGACUUAACUCGAUAUUUAAGAAGUGUGAGGUUGCUCCAAUUGUGCCGACUCUGACGAAGAGGAGAGGAAGUCACCAAGGCCUCCUCUGCGAAGCCUUAAAGCGUCUCAUGAUCUUCAGCACGUGUUUGACGAUCAUCUGAAGUCUGUGUGUGGAGGCCUGGGAGGACGACUCGCUUCCCUCGCUGCUGUUGGACAGCUGGGAGUCGGUAUUUCAAAAAGUAAGUGAAGGCAGCAGCAGAGUCUCACCAGGAGGCGGGGCCAGCGUGUGAAAGGAAGGCUAUUGGUGGAGCUCCCAGCACCUGGGUCAGCACUUCACUUGAGUCCCAGACAGCUGAAGUCCUUCAUCAUCACAGCACAGCACUUGUGUUCUUCGUGGUUUUGUGACCGCGGAUGAGCUUUUUCUGCUUCGCUUCGGACUUCGAACAACUGCAAGCAUUAGCUGACUUUACUUUAUGACUGCAGAGCAGCAUGUUUCUGACCUUGAACUGGGACUUUGUGUUCUGUAAAUGUUGCAUUUUACUGGAUUAUUAUAGAACAUGAAAUUCUGUGUGUGCUAGCUGUUCAUAAA